GUAAUAAGAAUUUGCAUUUCUAGCCAGUUCCCAGGUGACUUUGAGGCUGCUGAGCAGAAACCACCUGUUGAGAGCUGCUGGGUCUUACGUCAAUCACUGAAUGGCCCAGGGCUAAGAAGCGGGGUGCAGCCAGAAGACCCCAUCGCAAGCCUCCAGCACAAGGACUGAAGUGGGUCCAACUCCUCGCUUAGCAUAGAUUAAACUGUCCAGCACACCGGAGCUCGGGACUCAUCUCAGCUUGCCCUGGGCCUGCACUUGCUGGUUAGUCACCCAGCGUCUGUGCUCAGGUGCUACACCGUGCCUGGCCGGGGGACACAAAGCCGGGCGGCAAGAAAAGAAACAGCAAAAGCAGAGAUAGCAGGGCGGUGGCAUCAGAGCCCUUCCAGCAGCAGUACAGAGCAGGCAGCAACGGGUUCGGUCCGCAGGGCGACAGCGUCUGCAGACAGCACGUGCUCUCUCGAGUCCUCCACUCCCCACGCCUGCCCUGUCUCUCCCGUUCUGACCUGCCCGGCCACGUGAGCACCUUUUGGGGAGCUCUCCUCCGUUUCAAGCCUUCUUUGAUGUCUAUUCUGAUUGGCAACCACAGAGACUGCUCCCACUUCUUGACUGCCCUGUGAACUUGGGCAAACCCGAGCCCUGUGCUGAGUUCCUUAUUUGUGCUGUGGGCUGGGCACAGAAGGGACUGGCUGUGCGGUCUUAAAGAUUUUAGUCUCCAGGGUCCUGGCAAUUCACGUAGGCAAAAAUCUCAGGUGGAAGGAGAAGAACUGCAGGUGAUUAUUUCCAUCUGCUCUGAACUCUUGCUGGGGGAGGGAGAGGGAGGGGACGCUCUGACCCUCAGCACCCCUUACAGGACGUCCGGGAGAGAGAGCUGGUAACCUGGUCUCUAACUCAGAAGAUGGGCGGCCUCAUACUUCAUUAUCCUAACUGGGACACUUCUCAGAGUGAAGGGAAAGGUCUUAAUAAUGACCCUGGAAUAGCAGGUAUAAACCAGGACUGCCUUCAGCAAUCCAAGAUAAACGGUGACCUAUGAAUAAAGAAGAGAAACAGGCCUUA